GAUGAACGCUGGCGGCAUGCCUAAUACAUGCAAGUCGAGCGAACAGACGAGGAGCUUGCUCCUCUGACGUUAGCGGCGGACGGGUGAGUAACACGUGGAUAACCUACCUAUAAGACUGGGAUAACUUCGGGAAACCGGAGCUAAUACCGGAUAAUAUAUUGAACCGCAUGGUUCAAUAGUGAAAGACGGUUUUGCUGUCACUUAUAGAUGGAUCCGCGCCGCAUUAGCUAGUUGGUAAGGUAACGGCUUACCAAGGCAACGAUGCGUAGCCGACCUGAGAGGGUGAUCGGCCACACUGGAACUGAGACACGGUCCAGACUCCUACGGGAGGCAGCAGUAGGGAAUCUUCCGCAAUGGGCGAAAGCUUGACGGAGCAACGCCGCGUGAGUGAUGAAGGUCUUCAGAUCGUAAAACUCUGUUAUUAGGGAAGAACAAAUGUGUAAGUAACUAUGCACGUCUUGACGGUACCUAAUCAGAAAGCCACGGCUAACUACGUG
rnacentral:rRNA from 1 species